rnacentral:rRNA from 1 species
AGCGGCGGAUGGGUGAGUAACACGUGGGGAACCUGCCCCUAAGUCUGGGAUACCAUUUGGAAACAGGUGCUAAUACCGGAUAAUAAAGCAGAUCGCAUGAUCAGCUUUUGAAAGGCGGCGUAAGCCGUCGCUAAGGGAUGGCCCCGCGGUGCAUUAGCUAGUUGGUAAGGUAACGGCUUACCGAGGCGACGAUGCAUAGCCGAGUUGAGAGACUGAUCGGCCACAUUGGGACUGAGACACGGCCCAAACUCCUACGGGAGGCAGCAGUAGGGAAUCUUCCACAAUGGACGAAAGUCUGACGGAGCAACGCCGCGUGAGUGAAGAAGGGUUUCGGCUCGUAAAGCUCUGUUGGUAGUGAAGAAAGAUAGAAGUAGUAACUGGCCUUUAUUUGACGGUAAUUACUUAGAAAGUCACGGCUAACUACGUGCCAGCAGCCGCGGUAAUACGUAGGUGGCAAGCGUUGUCCGGAUUUAUUGGGCGUAAAGCGAGUGCAGGCGGUUCAAUAAGUCUGAUGUGAAAGCCUUCGGCUCAACCGGAGAAUUGCACCAGAAACUGUUGAACUUGAGUGCAGAAGAGGAGAGUGGAACUCCAUGUGUAGCGGUGGAAUGCGUAGAUAUAUGGAAGAACACCAGUGGCAAGGCGGCUCUCUGGUCUGCAACUGACGCUGAGACUCGAAAGCAUGGGUAGCGAACAGGAUUAGAUACCCUGGUAGUCCAUGCCGUAAACGAUGAGUGCUAAGUGU